rnacentral:rRNA from 1 species
GACAGAGGGUGCAAACGUUGCUCGGAAUUACUGGGCGUAAAGGGCGCGUAGGCGGCACUGUUAGUCAGGCGUGAAAGUCCUGGGCUCAACCUGGGAACUGCGCUUGAUACGGCAGAGCUAGAGGAUGGAAGAGGCUCGCGGAAUUCCCAGUGUAGAGGUGAAAUUCGUAGAUAUUGGGAAGAACACCGGUGGCGAAGGCGGCGAGCUGGUCCAUUACUGACGCUGAGGCGCGACAGCGUGGGGAGCAAACAGG